rnacentral:rRNA from 1 species
AAAGCGCGCGUAGGUGGUUUGUUAAGUUGAAUGUGAAAUCCCCGGGCUCAACCUGGGAACUGCAUCCAAAACUGGCAAGCUAGAGUAGGGUAGAGGGUGGUGGAAUUUCCUGUGUAGCGGUGAAAUGCGUAGAUAUAGGAAGGAACACCAGUGGCGAAGGCGACCACCUGGACUCAUACUGACACUGAGGUGCGAAAGCGUGGGGAGCAAACAGGAUUAGAUACCCUAGU